rnacentral:pre_miRNA from 1 species
UGGAUAAAUUAUUGUAUUCAACUGUAUUCAAGGCGUAAAAUAAGGGAUUACACUAUUUUUAAACGGAAAGUGAAUCAAUUAACAUAAUAGACUCAU